rnacentral:rRNA from 1 species
CUGAGUGAGGGCCCUCUGGGUCCAACCUCCCACCCGUGUUUAUUGUACCUUGUUGCUUCGGCGGGCCCGCCUUUAUGGCCGCCGGGGGGCUUACGCUCCCGGGCCCGCGCCCGCCGAAGACACCCUCGAACUCUGUCUGAAGAUUGUAGUCUGAGUGAAAAUAUAAAUUAUUUAAAACUUUCAACAACGGAUCUCUUGGUUCCGGCAUCGAUGAAGAACGCAGCGAAAUGCGAUACGUAAUGUGAAUUGCAGAAUUCAGUGAAUCAUCGAGUCUUUGAACGCACAUUGCGCCCCCUGGUAUUCCGGGGGGCAUGCCUGUCCGAGCGUCAUUGCUGCCCUCAAGCACGGCUUGUGUGUUGGGCCCCGUCCUCCGAUCCCGGGGGACGGGCCCGAAAGGCAGCGGCGGCACCGCGUCCGGUCCUCGAGCGUAUGGGGCUUUGUCACCCGCUCUGUAGGCCCGGCCGGCGCUUGCCGAUCAACCAAAAUUUUUUCCAGGUUGACCUCGGAUCAGGUAGGGAUACCCGCUGAACU